CGGUGAAUACGUUCCCGGGUCUUGUACACACCGCCCGUCACACCAUGGAAGUCGGUUCUGCCUUUAAGCCGCCCUUAAAAGCGUCCACGGCAGGGUCGAUGACUGGGGUG
rnacentral:rRNA from 1 species